ensembl:lncRNA
GUCCGAUGACCAAGCACUAUUCUCGGACACUGAUGGUUGAGUGGUCGGUGUUAUGGAUGAACCACUUUAACAGAUAAAUUCCAUAGAGCGGGAGUUCCUGGCGGAUAUUCGAUGAUGAAGCACUAUUCUCGGACUCUGAUGGUUGAGUGGUCGGUGUUAUGGAUAAACCACUUUAACCGACAAAGUUCCAUGGAGCGGGGGUUUCCGGCCAAUGUCCGAUGACCAAGCACUAUUCUCGGACUCUGAUGGUUGAGUGGUCGGUGUUAUGGUUGAACCACUUGAACAGAACAAAUUUCCAUAGAGCGGGGGUUCCUGGCGGAUAUUCGAUGAUGAAGCACUAUUCUCGGACUCUAAUGGUUGAGUGGUCGGUGUUAUGGAUAAACCACUUUAACCGACAAAGUUCCAUGGAGCGGGGGUUUCCGGCCAAUGUCCGAUGACCAAGCACUAUUCUCGGACUCUGAUGGUUGAGUGGUCGGUGUUAUGGUUGAACCACAAUAGCAGACAAAGUUCCAAAGAGCAGGAGUUCCCGGCGGAUAUUUGAUGACCAAGCACUAUUCUCGGACUCUGAUGGUUGAGUGGUCGGUGUUAUGGAUAAACCACUUGAACAGAACAAAGUUCCAUAGAGCGGGGGUUUCUGGCAGAUAUCCGAUGAUGAAGCACUAUUCUCGGACUCUGAUGGUUGAGUGGUCGGUGUUAUGGAUGAACCACAAUAGCAGACAAAGUUCCAAAGAGCAGGAGUUCCCGGCGGAUAUUUGAUGAUGAAGCACUAUUCUCGGACUCUGAUGGUUGAGUGGUCGGUGUUAUGGAUAAACCACUUUAACAGAUAAAGUUCCAUGGAGCGGGGGUUCCCGGCCCAUUUACGAUGACCAAGCACUAUUCUCGGACUCUGAUGGUUGAGUGGUCGGUGUUAUGGAUGAACCACUUGAACAGAUCAAAGUUCCAUGGAGCGGGGG